GACGAACGCUGGCGGCGUGCUUAACACAUGCAAGUCGAACGGAAAGGCCCUGCUUUUGUGGGGUGCUCGAGUGGCGAACGGGUGAGUAACACGUGAGUAACCUGCCCUUGACUUUGGGAUAACUUCAGGAAACUGGGGCUAAUACCGGAUAGGAGCUCCUGCUGCAUGGUGGGGGUUGGAAAGUUUCGGCGGUUGGGGAUGGACUCGCGGCUUAUCAGCUUGUUGGUGGGGUAGUGGCUUACCAAGGCUUUGACGGGUAGCCGGCCUGAGAGGGUGACCGGCCACAUUGGGACUGAGAUACGGACCAGACGCCAACGGGAGGCAGCAGUGGGGAAUAUUGCGCAAUGGGCGGAAGCCUGAUGCAGCAACGCCGCGUGCGGGAUGACGGCCUUCGGGGUGUAAACCGCUUUCGCCUGUGACGAAGCGUGAGUGACGGUAAUGGGUAAAGAAGCACCGGCUAACUACGUG
rnacentral:rRNA from 1 species